rnacentral:rRNA from 1 species
UACGUAGGGCGCGAGCGUUGUCCGGAAUUAUUGGGCGUAAAGAGCUCGUAGGCGGUUUGUCGCGUCCGCUGUGAAAGCCCGGGGCUUAACCCCGGGUCUGCAGUGGAUACGGGCAGGCUAGAGGUAGGUAGGGGAGAAUGGAAUUCCCGGUGUAGCGGUGAAAUGCGCAGAUAUCGGGAGGAACACCGGUGGCGAAGGCGGCUCUCUGGGCCUUACCUGACGCUGAGGAGCGAAAGCGUGGGGAGCGAACAGG